UACGGGGGAUGCAAGCGUUAUUCGGAAUUAUUGGGCGUAAAGCGCCUGUAGGUUGUUUAAUAAGUCUACUGUUAAAGCCUAGGGCUUAACCCUAGAAAAGCAAUGGAAACUAUUAAACUAGAGUAUGGCGGAGGUAGAGGGAACUUCUAGUGAAGCGGUGAAAUGCGUAAAGAUUAGAAAGAACACCAGUGGCGAAAGCACUCUACUAUACCAUUACUGACACUCAGAGGCGAAAGCUAGGGGAGCAAAAGGG
rnacentral:rRNA from 1 species